rnacentral:rRNA from 1 species
GAUCAUGGCUCAGAUUGAACGCUGGCGGAAUGCUUUACACAUGCAAGUCGAACGGUAGAGGGGGCAACCCUUGAGAGUGGCGAACGGGUGAGUAAUAUAUCGGAACGUGCCCAGUCGUGGGGGAUAACGUAGCGAAAGUUACGCUAAUACCGCAUACGAUCUAAGGAUGAAAGCGGGGGACCGUAAGGCCUCGCGCGAUUGGAGCGGCCGAUAUCAGAUUAGGUAGUUGGUGGGGUAAAGGCUCACCAAGCCAACGAUCUGUAGCUGGUCUGAGAGGACGACCAGCCACACUGGAACUGAGACACGGUCCAGACUCCUACGGGAGGCAGCAGUGGGGAAUUUUGGACAAUGGACGCAAGUCUGAUCCAGCCAUUCCGCGUGCAGGAUGAAGGCCCUCGGGUUGUAAACUGCUUUUGUACGGAACGAAAAGGUUUGUCUUAAUACGAUGAGCUCAUGACGGUACCGUAAGAAUAAGCACCGGCUAACUACGUG